GCAUCGAUGAAGAACGCAGCGAAAUGCGAUAACGUAAUGUGAAUUGCAGAAUUCAGUGAAUCAUCGAAUCUUUGAACGCACCUUGCGCUCCUUGGCAUUCCGAGGAGCAUGCCUGUUUGAGUGUCGUG
rnacentral:rRNA from 1 species